CCAAAGGACGGGGAAGCUGAAAAAGCACUUCCGGGAAUAAAAUGAGCAGUUCCCUCAUCCAGUUUUGACUCAACGUUUAACAAAGGAUGUGCCGCAACCUCAGACAUUUGUUUGGAAAUACUGUGUGACUCAGGAAAAAAUGAAAGAAUGCCAUUUGGAGCGAAGCUGUGAAAGUUGGGUUUAUAUGUAGAUACACCAAGAAGAUACAAGUAAUGCUGUUCAUCUUAAUCCAAGUGCCUGUCCUUUGGACCAGAAGCAAAGAAGCCACCCUGGUGGGAGUGCUUAUCUUGGGUCCACAGACACCCAGGGGGCUCUUAGAUGGCAUUCCGGGGAUCUAUAUAUUUGGAUGGGAGAAAGACUCACUCAUUUAUUUUCACUAACCUGUAACUGAAAUUUAGUAUUUCUUUCAAUUAUGAAGCUA